UACGAAGGGGGCUAGCGUUGCCCGGAAUCACUGGGCGUAAAGCGCACGUAGGCGGACUCUUAAGUCGGUGGUGAAAUCCUGGAGCUCAACUCCAGAACUGCCUUCGAUACUGAGAGUCUUGAGUCCGGGAGAGGUGAGUGGAACUGCGGGUGUAGAGGUGAAAUUCGUAGAUAUUCGCAGGAACACCAGUGGCGAAGGCGGCUCACUGGCCCGGUACUGACGCUGAGGUGCGAAAGCGUGGGGAGCGAACAGG
rnacentral:rRNA from 1 species